AUUGAACGCUGGCGGCAGGCCUAACACAUGCAAGUCGAGCGGAUGAAGGGAGCUUGCUCCUGGAUUCAGCGGCGGACGGGUGAGUAAUGCCUAGGAAUCUGCCUGGUAGUGGGGGAUAACGUCCGGAAACGGGCGCUAAUACCGCAUACGUCCUGAGGGAGAAAGUGGGGGAUCUUCGGACCUCACGCUAUCAGAUGAGCCUAGGUCGGAUUAGCUAGUUAGUGGGGUAAAGGCCCACCAAGGCGACGAUCCGUAACUGGUCUGAGAGGAUGAUCAGUCACACUGGAACUGAGACACGGUCCAGACUCCUACGGGAGGCAGCAGUGGGGAAUAUUGGACAAUGGGCGAAAGCCUGAUCCAGCCAUGCCGCGUGUGUGAAGAAGGUCUUCGGAUUGUAAAGCACUUUAAGUUGGGAGGAAGGGCAGUAAGUUAAUACCUUGCUGUUUUGACGUUACCAACAGAAUAAGCACCGGCUAACUUCGUG
rnacentral:rRNA from 1 species